GAGACAGGAUCCUCCUUGUCAUCCCCAUAUUCAAAAUAUGUUCCUUCCAGAAGUCCAUUCAAACCCUGGGCCUGGGAUCUUCUUUGUGACAAGUAUCCUGGGUUUCAGCCUGGGACCUUGCUUCCUCUUUUGUCUCCUCCUCUUGCUGAUUCAUCAAUGCAGAAAGAAGCCAAAGUGCCGAGAGGACCAUCAGGGAAAGGUGAAACUCCUGGAGGAGGGAAUGGAGGACUCCAGAAUUCAUAUUGCUGACUUCAGAGACUCGACGCUCUCGAUGGAUGAAUCGGUGUGCCUGUACUAAAACAAGCUACACGAUGGUCCAGGCUAGAGGUCCAGAGACGGCCACGGUGGUAUCCAGAUAAGGCCAUGGUGCACUGUGGCCCCUUUGUUACAUAAGUUCUCCAAUAAUAAACACUUUGGUCCUACUCAA